CAAGUACUCCCUCCAUCCGGAGUUACUUGUCAUCAAAAUGGAUGUGUCUAGAACUAAAAUACAUCUAGAUACAUCCAUUUCAAUGACAAGUAUUUUCGGACGGAGGGAGUACAAG
rnacentral:pre_miRNA from 1 species